UGUUUCAUUUGCAAAUUCUAUUACUAUCCUAUUGCUGCGACCUUGUUGAGUUGCCUACCAAAUUGGGAAGGUUAAUCAAUUUGCAACAUCUUGAUCUUAGAGGCACAAAGUUGAAACAGAUGCCAGCACAUAUGGGCAAACUAAAAGAUUUGCACAAGUUAACUACAUUUGUUGUAGGCAAACACAGUGGGUCCAGCAUCAGUGAGUUAGGGGAGCUCCAACAUCUUCACGGAACCCUUUCCAUUUUGAAUUUGCAAAAUGUUGGUUGUUCUGGAGAUGCUUUGAAGGCCGAUUUGAAGGGUAAGAAGAAACUGCAGGGGUUAGUGUUGAGUUGGGGAGAUGAAAUUGAAGAUUAUUCUAAGGAUAUGUUUGUUGUGCCUUUGUUCAUGGAAAGAGAGGUAGAAGUACCUAAGUGUGUGCCUCAUGAAGACUUGGAUCAUCAAAGAAAUGUACUUGAGCAACUACAGCCUUCUCCAGAUCUGGAACACCUCAAAAUUUUCUAUUAUGGGGGUACACAAUUUCCAGAAUGGGUGGGAGAUCAUUCCUUUUCAAAAAUUGUAUCCUUGGAAUUGGGCAAUUGUGAGCAUUGCUUGUCCUUGCCAGCACUUGGACAUCUACGGUCUUUGAAGAACCUGUCUCUCAGAGGAUUUCCUCGAGUAACUGCAGUAGGUUCUGAGUUCUAUGGGAAUGGUUCUAGUAUGAAGUCCUUUGACUCACUUGAAAUACUGAGGUUCGAGAACAUGCCGGAGUGGAAAAAAUGGUUGUGUUUGGGAGAUGAAAAUGGAACUUUCUGUAGUCUGCAAGAACUGUACAUAAUAGAUUGUCCCAAGCUGAAGGGAGAUCUGCCUAAAACACUUCCUCUUCUAAGGAAAUUUAGGAUUGAAAAUUGUGAGACGCUUGGUAGUGCUCUCUCGAGGGCGCCUGACAUGCAUGAACUGAAAUUAGUGAAUUGUGAUAAAAUGCAGCUGCAGGCACUACCAACAGAGCUGCAAAAUUUAGCAGUUGAAAAUUGCAGUGUCCAAGAUUCCUCACUGGAGCUGAUGCUGCAGCACUGCACUCGUCUUGAAGGAUUGUCUAUUGGAAGUUGUGCUUCUCUUAAGUCCCUUCCUGAAGGUCGUCUACCUGUUUCCUUGAAGAGAUUGAUGAUUAAUAACUGCGGUGAGUUUGAUUUUUCUAGAAUCCUCUUGUGCACAUCUCUACAAAAUUUGAACGUGUUGAAUGCCCUUGAUUCACUAGAAUCAUUCUCAUUAGGCUCUUUUCCUAACCUAAAUAGCUUGAACUUCUCGCUUUGUACAAACAUCAAGUCGUUUUCUGCAUUAGAGGGACCUCACCAGCAUCUCCCAUCUCUCCAUUCUAUAAAUAUAUUCGACUGUCCUAAUUUUGUAUCUUUUCCCAAAGGAGGAUUAUCUGCCCCUAAUUUGACAAUGCUUUAUCUCUUCAAUUGCAAAAAUUUAAAGUCACUCCCCGAGCAAAUGCACUCCCUUCUCCCAUCCCUCGACUAUUUGUCUGUAGCGAAUUGUUCAGAGAUUGAGUCAUUUCCAGAAGGGGGCUUGCCAUUCAACUUACAAUUUCUUGAUAUUAGUUGUUGUAAUAAACUUAUUGCUGGUCGAAUGGGAUGGGGAUUGCACAAACUCCGCUGUCUUACAUAUUUCAAAAUGAGUGGAGGAGAUAUGGAGUUCUUUCCGGAUGAGCAGCUGCUGCCAUCCACUAUUACCAAUCUUCACAUUUCGUGGCUUCCAAAUCUCAAGACUUUGGACUACAAAGGGCUUCAACACCUUACCUCUAUUCAGGAAUUGGACAUCAAUUUUUGCCCAAAGCUCCAAUCCAUGCCACCAGAGGGGCUCCCUGUCUCCCUUUCUUCUAUAUCCAUUUCCGACUGUCCAUUGCUGACAAAACGUUGCCAAAAGGAGAAGGGUAAAGAUUGGGCCAAGAUUUCCCACAUCCCAUCGAUAACAAUUGAUGGUCAAGUCAUCAUCGCCUAAACUCAAUGUCUCAGAGAAUUCAUUUGGCUCAGCAGAAACCAUACGGUCCCUGUAGUCUUGAACCAACGCACUGCCACAGACAAAACAAAUUGAAGCCAUGAGGAGCUUCUCCUUCUCCUUCUCCGCCGUUUUACUGCUUCUGUUACUUUCUUUUGGCAAUCAGCUGAUGAUGGGACAGAGCUGAGAGUGUGAGCAGUCAUUUCCAAAUCCAGGCUGCACACAAGAUGAAUGCAAUAAUCUUUGCAUUCAGCAUUUUGGGAGAACUGGGAAAUAUGGAGCUCCAGUUUAUGGGGUUUGCUUCACGAGUAAAACUUGUAUCUACCGUCAAUGUUAAAGCCUCAAAGUUACAACUUGGGCUACUUUUAUCUUUGUCUGGCUUUGUUUCACGGACAAACAAACAAAAUCAUUGAAGUUUAAUAACGUGGAUAUCUAUUUGAAUGCAGUGAAAUGUGUUUAUAAUUAAGGGAUCCUACUUUGAA